rnacentral:rRNA from 1 species
AGAGUUUGAUUCUGGCUCAGAACGAACGCUGGCGGCGUGGAUAAGACAUGCAAGUCGAACGAGAGAAUUGCUAGCUUGCUAAUAAUUCUCUAGUGGCGCACGGGUGAGUAACACGUGAGUAACCUGCCCCCGAGAGCGGGAUAGCCCUGGGAAACUGGGAUUAAUACCGCAUAGUAUCGAAAGAUUAAAGCAGCAAUGCGCUUGGGGAUGGGCUCGCGGCCUAUUAGUUAGUUGGUGAGGUAACGGCUCACCAAGGCGAUGACGGGUAGCCGGUCUGAGAGGAUGUCCGGCCACACUGGAACUGAGACACGGUCCAGACACCUACGGGUGGCAGCAGUCGAGAAUCAUUCACAAUGGGGGAAACCCUGAUGGUGCGACGCCGCGUGGGGGAAUGAAGGUCUUCGGAUUGUAAACCCCUGUCAUGUGGGAGCAAAUUAAAAGAUAGUACCACAAGAGGAAGAGACGGCUAACUCUGUGCCAGCAGCCGCGGUAAUACAGAGGUCUCAAGCGUUGUUCGGAAUCACUGGGCGUAAAGCGUGCGUAGGCUGUUUCGUAAGUCGUGUGUGAAAGGCGCGGGCUCAACCCGCGGACGGCACAUGAUACUGCGAGACUAGAGUAAUGGAGGGGGAACCGGAAUUCUCGGUGUAGCAGUGAAAUGCGUAGAUAUCGAGAGGAACACUCGUGGCGAAGGCGGGUUCCUGGACAUUAACUGACGCUGAGGCGCGAAAGCGUGGGGAGCAAACAGGAUUAGAUACCCUGGUAGUCCACGCCGUAAACG